CUGUCCAGUGAGCAGAGGUUGAGGUUGCGCAAAGUCAAAAUAUAACAGACACUUUUUUCCUGCUUUUUCAGAUGCCUCGGGGGGAGAGGAGGAGAGAGAACCGGAGAAAGAGGAGGAGAAACAGCCCACAGGAGAAGAAAGGAAAGAAGAGGAAACAGGAACCCGUUCCGGCUAAGAAGAAGACUGCACUGAAAUCCCAGGAGUGAUUUAUGGCUCAGGAGAAGAAAGUUGAUGAGGGCGAGAAAAAGACCAAGAACAAGAGAUAGGUAGAGGAGCAGCUGAAGCUUGAGGUGACAUGCAUUGGGGAGGGAACACCAGGGAGACUGAAAGCCCUCCUAGGGAAAGGUGGGCACUCAUUUACUACCCCUCAGGGUUUUAACCCCAGUUUGGCCUUGCCAGCGCUGCGCUUCCUGCUUCUGAACUGGAAUUGGAGGGACCAGAAGCCUCGCAUGAUGGUGGACAUCCCUGAUGUCCAAACUGAUUUGCUGAAGCUGCUGGAUACAGGCAUCUUGAAAGGCUGUAGAGAAGGAAACACAAACACACACCCAACCAUUUCGAACUGGACCUCUUCUGCUCUCACACAAACACCACAGUUAUUGUAGUAAACAAAAACUGAAACAAAAAUUGGGAAAACAAUUGCAAAACAGACUGAAAAACAAAAUAAAAUAAAAUAAAUAACAAUUA